CACCCACCCACCCACACACACACACACACACACACACACAAUCCUCCUCACACAUAUCGUUCCAGACUUCCAGUUUGCACCUCUAGGAGACUGCAAACAACCAAAAACCAUGCCGAUCGGAGAAGCUGUUCUGUCUGCCUUCAUGCAGGCACUCUUCGAGAAAGUGAUUGCUACCGCUUUUGGUGAUCUGAAAUUACCUCAAGAUGUGGCUGCGGAGCUGGAGAAACUAUCCAGCAGUCUGUCGACCAUUCAAGCUCACGUUGAAGAGGCCGAGGAGCAGCAGCUGAAGGAUAAGGCGGCACAAACCUGGCUUGCCAAGCUCAAGGAUGUCGCAUAUGAGAUGGAUGACUUGCUCGAUGAUUAUGCAGCUGAGGCCCUUCGAUCCAGACUAGAAGGCACAUCCAACUACAACCAUUUGAACAAGGUUAGGAGCUGUUUCUGCUGCUUUUGGUUUAACACUUGUUUAUUUAACCACAAGAUACUGCAAGACAUAAGGAUGGUCGAUGAGAAGCUCAAUAGGCUUGUCAAGGAAAGGCAGAUCAUUGGUCCAAACAUGAUUAGUGCAACAGACAGGAAAGAGAUAAAAAAGAGGCCUGAGACCAGUUCAAUAAUCGAUGACUCGAGUGUGUUUGGAAGAGAAGAAGAUAAGGAGACCAUUGUGAAGAUGUUGCUUGAUCAGAAUAACUCCAACCAUUCCAACCUUUCUAUUCUCCCCAUAGUGGGUAUGGGUGGACUAGGGAAGACAACCCUAACACAGCUUGUCUACAAUGAUACAAGAAUAAAGGGGCAUUUCCAGUUACGGGUCUGGCUGUGUGUUUCUGAACAUUUUGAUCAGAUGAAGCUUACCAAGGAAACCAUUGAAUCAGUUGCCAGCGAGUUUGAAUCAAACAUCAUUGGGAUCUCAUCGGUCACGACCAACAUGAACUUGCUCCAAGAAGACCUCUCGAAAAAGCUAAAAGAUAAAAGGUUUCUUCUAGUACUUGAUGAUGUAUGGAAUGAGGACCCUGAAAAGAUAAAAGGAAGCUUACUGUGUUCCCAGGAUACUGAGGAUGACUGGAAAAAUGUAUUAAGGAGUGAAAUAUGGGAGCUGCCAUCGGAUAAGAACAAUAUAUUACCAGCUCUGAGAUUGAGUUAUAAUCAUUUGCCUGCCAUACUGAAGAGAUGUUUUGCAUUUUGCUCAGUCUUUCACAAAGACUAUGUGUUUGAGAAAGACAGGUUGGUCCAGAUAUGGAUGGCCCUUGGGUUUAUUCAGACUCAGCGGAGGAGAAGAAUGGAAGAGAUUGGAAGUAGCUAUUUUGAUGAAUUACUAAGCAGGUCCUUCUUCCAACAUCACAAAGGUGGAUAUGUGAUGCAUGAUGCUAUGCAUGACCUAGCACAGUCGGUCUCAAUUCAUGAGUGUCUCAGACUGGAUGACCUUCCUAACAACAGCACCUCUGCAAGAAGUGCCAGGCACCUCUCAUUCUCUUGCAAUAAUAGAAGCCAGACUUCAUUUGAAGCUUUUCUUGGAUUUAAGAGAGCACGGACACUUCUACAGCUAAGUGGAUAUAAAUCAAUGACAAGGUCUAUCCCCAGUGAUCUGUUCCUCAAGUUAAGGUACCUCCAUGUGCUCGAUUUGAACCGGCGAGACAUUACUCAGUUGCCAGAUUCUAUUGGAAGCUUAAAAAUGCUUCGAUAUUUGAAUCUCUCGGGCACUGGUAUAGCAAUGUUGCCUUCAUCAAUUGGUAGACUCUUCAGCUUGCAAAUACUUAAGUUGAAAAACUGCCAUCGAUUAGAUUAUCUCCCACAAAGCAUAACAAAUCUUGUAAAUCUUCGGUGGCUAGAAGCAAGAACAGAGUUGGUCACGGGUAUAGCCAGAAUAGGUAACUUAACCUGUCUUCAACAGUUGGAUGAAUUUGUGGUCCGUACAGAUAAAGGAUACAAGAUCAGUGAAUUGAAGGCAAUGAAGGAAAUCAGAGGGCAUAUUUGUAUUAAGAAUAUCGAGUGUGUGGCAAGCACAGAGGAAGCAAUUGAAGCUUGUCUAAGCGAGAAGGCAUUCAUCAACAUCCUAGACCUUAUCUGGUCCGAUAACAGGAAUGUAACAUCCGAAGAAGUAAAUCGAGACAAAGAGAUACUUGAAGUCCUCCGGCCACAUCAUGAACUGAACGAGCUAACUGUCAAGUCAUUUGCAAGGCUCCUCCUUCCCAAAUUGGUUUAGUAGUCUUUCCCACUUGCAAACCCUCCACCUGUCUGAUUGUACGAAAUGUUCGAUUCUACCAGCACUUGGAGAGCUGCCUCAACUCAAGUAUUUGAAUAUUGGUGGUUCUCCAGCCAUUAUUCAAAUCAGCCAAGGUUUUUCAGGUACCAAUGAAGUUAAGGGGUUUCCAGCACUGAAAGAGCUCGUAUUUGAAGACAUGAGUAAUUUCAAAAGGUGGGCUUAUGUACAAGAUGGUGAAUUUCUUCCGUCCCUUACAGAACUUGCAGUGAUGGGCUGCCCGAAAGUAAAAGAAUUCCCACCCCUCCCAUCAAUGCUAGUGAAGCUCAAAAUUUCUGAAACGGGGUUUGCUGUUCUUCCAGAAUUCCAUAUUCCAAACUCCCAGUAUCCAUCGUCAUUAGAAUGCUUACAGAUUCAUCAGUGCCCAAACCUCACAUCCUUAAAUGAAGGGCUGCUUAGCCGGCAAUUAUUGGCUCUCCAGCAGUUAACAAUCACUCACUGUUUAGACCUAAUUGACCUGCCAGUUGAAGGAUUCAGAUCCCUAACUGCUCUUAAGAGUCUUCACAUCUAUGACUGUCCAAGGCUGGCACCAUCAGGACAGCAUAGCUUGCUGCCCUCUAAACUUGAAGACUUGCGCAUCAGCUCAUGCUCCAACCUUAUUAACCCUCUUCUUCAAGAGCUUAAUGAGCUCUCCUCGCUGACACAUCUCACCACCGCUGAUUGUGCUAGCCUUCAGUCUUUUCCAGUAAAGCUCCCUGCCACUCUGCAAAAACUGGAGAUCCUCGAUUGCAGUAAUCUGGUCUGCUUGCCUGCUGGUCUAGAAGAUGCAUCCUGUCUAACAGCUAUAACCAUCUUGAGAUGUCCUCUCAUACCAUGCUUGCCAGGGCGGCUUACAAAGUCAUUGAAAGAACUGUACAUCAAAGAAUGCCCCUUUCUAUUGGAGAGUUGCCAAGAAAACAGUGGAAGAGAUUGGUGUAAAAUUGACCAUGUACCAAUCAUUGAGAUCGAUGAUGAUACCAACAUACCCAACAACAGCAUACGAAGAAGAUUAUCAUGAAUGCCUCACAGCAAUGCUACACAAAUGAUUAUCAUAUGGAUUCUGGAAAUAAUUUUGGACGACGGUGAUAUUUCAAGAGCACCUUACACUUUAUGUCCACCUCCAUCAGAAGACUAAUCUAGCACAUGUGCAAAACUCAAACGAAUCGAAAACUCAAUGAGUAAUUUUGAAGAAAACAGAGCUAGUACUUUCAGCGGAGGAAGUGGCCAAGACAUUACUGUAUUCAUUAUAUAUAUGCCUUAUCAUUUUCAGAGAAAUAAGAUAGGUG
rnacentral:rRNA from 1 species